rnacentral:lncRNA from 1 species
ACUUGAGUUACUUCCAAAAGGGGUCUAUUCGUCAGUCAAAACGUUAAUCUUGAAGGAGCAAAGGUUUGUUCAUGAGCUGUCAUGCUUGCUAGGCGAAGCCCACGUGUUAUGCAAGCAAAAAAAACAAAAACAAAAAACGGAAAACAAAAAAGAACGGAAAACGAAAAAAAAUAAAUUUAAAUAAAUAAAUAAAUAAAUAAAGUAAAUAAAUAAAAGAAAAAAUCUCAGACUUGGACCUCUCUCAUUUGAGCCCACAAAGCCAUGAAAAUCAGGUUAUAAAAGAGGGAGAACAGAGAGAAAAAGGAAGAGAUGCAAAAC